rnacentral:rRNA from 1 species
CGGAGGGUGCAAGCGUUAUCCGGAUUCACUGGGUUUAAAGGGUGUGUAGGCGGAUAUUUAAGUCAGUGGUGAAAUCUCCAGGCUCAACCUGGAAACUGCCAUUGAUACUAUUUAUCUUGAAUUCUGUUGAGGUGGGCGGAAUACAUCAUGUAGCGGUGAAAUGCUUAGAUAUGAUGUAGAACACCGAUUGCGAAGGCAGCUCACUAAGCAGACAUUGACGCUGAGGCACGAAAGCGUGGGGAUCAAACAGGAUUAGAUACCCUGGUAGUCCACGCCCUAAACGAUGAUUACUCGACAUACGCGAUACACAGUGUGUGUCUGAGCGAAAGCAUUAAGUAAUCCACCUGGGAAGUACGACCGCAAGGUUG